rnacentral:rRNA from 1 species
AGUUUGAUCCUGGCUCAGAUUGAACGCUGGCGGCAUGCCUUACACAUGCAAGUCGAACGGCAGCACGGGAGCUUGCUCCUGGUGGCGAGUGGCGAACGGGUGAGUAAUACAUCGGAACGUACCCUGAAGUGGGGGAUAACGUAGCGAAAGUUACGCUAAUACCGCAUAUUCUGUGAGCAGGAGAGAGGGGGAUCGCAAGACCUCUUGCUUUAGGAGCGGCCGAUGUCGGAUUAGCUAGUUGGUGAGGUAAAGGCUCACCAAGGCGACGAUCCGUAGCGGGUCUGAGAGGAUGAUCCGCCACACUGGGACUGAGACACGGCCCAGACUCCUACGGGAGGCAGCAGUGGGGAAUUUUGGACAAUGGGCGCAAGCCUGAUCCAGCCAUGCCGCGUGAGUGAAGAAGGCCUUCGGGUUGUAAAGCUCUUUCGGUGGGGAAGAAAUUGCUUCGGUUAAUACCUGGAGUAGAUGACGGUACCCGCAUAAGAAGCACCGGCUAACUACGUG